CCCAGACUCCUACGGGAGGCAGCAGUGGGGGAUAUUGCACAAUGGGGGGAACCCUGAUGCAGCGACGCCGCGUGGGUGAAGGAGCGUUUCGGCGCGUAAAGCCCUAUCGGCAGGGAAGAAGGAGGACGGUACCUGACUAAGAAGCCCCGGCUAACUACGUGCCAGCAGCCGCGGUAAUACGUAGGGGGCAAGCGUUAUCCGGAUUUACUGGGUGUAAAGGGGGCGCAGACGGCAGCGCAAGCCAGGAGUGAAAGCCCGGGGCCCAACCCCGGGACUGCUCUUGGAACUGCGCGGCUGGAGUGCAGGAGGGGCAGGCGGAAUUCCUGGUGUAGCGGUGAAAUGCGUAGAUAUCAGGAGGAACACCGGUGGCGAAGGCGGCCUGCUGGACUGCGACUGACGUUGAGGCCCGAAAGCGUGGGGAGCAAACAGGAUUAGAUACCCUGGUAGA
rnacentral:rRNA from 1 species